AUGGGCGGAAGCCUGAUCCAGCCAUGCCGCGUGCAGGAAGACUGCCCUAUGGGUUGUAAACUGCUUUUAUACGGGAAGAAACACCCCCUCGUGUGGGGGCUUGACGGUACCGUAUGAAUAAGGAUCGGCUAACUCCGUGCCAGCAGCCGCGGUAAUACGGAGGAUCCAAGCGUUAUCCGGAAUCAUUGGGUUUAAAGGGUCCGUAGGCGGGUAUGUCAGUCAGUGGUGAAAGUCUGCAGCUCAACUGUAGAACUGCCAUUGAUACUGCAUACCUUGAGUAAUUAUGAAGUGGUUAGAAUAUGUAGUGUAGCGGUGAAAUGCAUAGAUAUUACAUAGAAUACCGAUUGCGAAGGCAGAUCACUAAUAAUUUACUGACGCUGAUGGACGAAAGCGUAGGUAGCGAACAGGAUUAGAUACCCUGGUAGUCUACGCCGUAAACGAUGGUUACUAGCUGUUUGGACCGAUUGAGGACUGAGUGGCUAAGCGAAAGUGAUAAGUAACCCACCUGGGGAGUACGUUCGCAAGAAUGAAACUCAAAGGAAUUGACGGGG
rnacentral:rRNA from 1 species